rnacentral:rRNA from 1 species
UACGUGAGGGGCGAGCGUUGUCCGGAGUUACUGGGCGUAAAGGGCAUGCAGGCGGUCGGACGCGUUUCGGGUGACAGCGGGUGGCUUAACUACCCGAGCGGUCGAAAGACGGUUCGACUUGAGGACGCGAGAGGGACACGGAAUUCCGGGUGGAGUGGUGAAAUGCGUAGAGAUCCGGAGGAACACCGAAGGCGAAGGCAGUGUCCUGGCGCGUAACUGACGCUGAGGUGCGAAAGCCAGGGGAGCGAACGGG